rnacentral:rRNA from 1 species
UGAGGAAUAUUGGGCAAUGGGGGCAACCCUGACCCAGCCAUGCCGCGUGAGUGAAGAAGGUUUUCGAAUUGUAAAGCUCUUUCGGAUGUGACGAUGAUGACGGUAGCAUCUAAAGAAGCCCCGGCAAACUUCGUGCCAGCAGCCGCGGUAAUACGAAGGGGGCGAGCGUUGUUCGGAAUUACUGGGCGUAAAAGGGGUGUGUAGGUGGACGUGUAAGAUAGCGGUGAAAUGCCGGAGCUCAACUUCGGAAUUGCCAUUAUAACUAUGCGUCUAGAAUUAUAGAGAGGAUAGCGGAAUACCCAGUGUAGAGGUGAAAUUCGUAGAUAUUGGGUAGAACACCAGUGGCGAAGGCGGCUAUCUGGCUAUAUAUUGACACUGAGGCACGAAAGCAUGGGGAUCAAACAGGAUUAGAUACCC